rnacentral:rRNA from 1 species
CCUGCCCAGCGCUUUUAAAGUAAACGGCCGCGGUAACCUGACCGUGCAAAGGUAGCAUAGUCAAUUGCCUAAUAAUUAUAGGCUAGAAUGAACGGCUCAACGAAAAACUAUCUGUCUCCCAGGCCAUAACUUGAAACUAAUCUUAAGGUGAAAAAGCCUUAAUCCAAUCGAAGGACAAAAAGACCCUAUCGAGCUUAAGUCCAACAAAACGGCCCAUAGAAAGGCCGCUUGAAGACUUUUGUUGGGGCAACAACAGAGAGCUAACAAACCCCUGUAACACAAAACUAAAUAAAGAAUAAAACCAAACCUUCUGAAUAUAUAAAAGCUACCGUAGGGAUAACAGCGUAAUUUCUUAGUAGAGACCCUAUCGAAUAAGAAGAUUGCGACCUCGAUGUUGGACUAGGAACACUCUUUGACGCAGAAGUUAAAGUAAGCUGGUCUGUUCG